rnacentral:miRNA from 1 species
UUGCUACGAUACUACACCCCACA